UACAGAGGGUGCAAGCGUUGUUCGGAAUUAUUGGGCGUAAAGAGCUCGUAGGCGGUGUGUCGCGUCGGCCGUGAAAACCUGCAGCUUAACUGUGGGCUUGCGGUCGAUACGGGCAGGCUAGAGUCCGGCAGGGGAGACUGGAAUUCCUGGUGUAGCGGUGAAAUGCGCAGAUAUCAGGAGGAACACCGGUGGCGAAGGCGACAUCCUGGACCGGUAUUGACGCUGAGGCGCGAAAGCCAGGGGAGCAAACGGG
rnacentral:rRNA from 1 species